GAUGAACGCUGGCGGCGUGCCUAAUACAUGCAAGUCGAGCGAACAGACGAGGAGCUUGCUCCUCUGACGUUAGCGGCGGACGGGUGAGUAACACGUGGAUAACCUACCUAUAAGACUGGGAUAACUUCGGGAAACCGGAGCUAAUACCGGAUAAUAUAUUGAACCGCAUGGUUCAAUAGUGAAAGACGGUUUUGCUGUCACUUAUCGAUGGAUCCGCGCCGCAUUAGCUAGUUGGUAAGGUAACGGCUUACCAAGGCGUCGAUGCGUAGCCGACCUGAGAGCGUGAUCGGCCACAUGGGGAUUGAGACACGGUCCAGCAUCCUACGGGAGGAAGCAGUAGGGAAUCUUCCGAAAUGGGCGAACGCCUGACGGAGCAAGGCGGCGUGAGUGAUGAAGGUCUUCGGAUCGUAAAGCUCUGUUAUUAGGGAAGAACAAAUGUGUAAGUUACUGUGGACGUCUUGACGGGACCUAAGCAGAAAGCGACGGCUAAGUAGGUG
rnacentral:rRNA from 1 species